GCUGUAUAAAAUACUCAACCUACACUCAAAUACUGAAUAAAUCAAAUUGAAUCUAAUGGGUCUAUUAAAAGUGUACUGUUAAUUCAUCAUUAUAUAAUUUAGAACAGCAGUAUCACUUCGACAGAAAAGAUAAAUACAACGUGUCCUAACAAAUAGCAAUAAGUGAUUAUAACAGGUACUUAGAAAAGGAAUAUUUAUUUAGAUCAAUAUCCAAUUAAGGGUCUGGGUAUUCAGAGCCUACACUUUGGCUUCCCUUUAAAUUAGGAAAGUAAAAGCUAUUAGCAAACCUUAUUAGUUUCAUGCUGGUCUCUUGAGAUUUUUUUUCCACCUGAAUACUUUGUGUCCCUUAAAAGAUAAUUCUAAACACAGUGUGAUAUUGAUUGUUUUAAGGCACUAAUGUGAAUGGAUCAAACACAGUGAAAGAAAAUUUUACUGUAUGCAUAGUCAAAUUCAGGGUUAAGAUCUGUUAACAUCAGAGAUUAAUAAUUUCCUCUUAAAUAUAAAAUUAACAUCUAAUCAUUAACUCAGGAAGAGAAUGGAGCCCUACUUAUCUUUGUAAUCACACGGACUCUGGGUAACAAUGCAGUGAACUGUCUGCAGAAACAUCAGAAAAAAUACAAACUUCAAAGACUGAAGUUGGCAGGCAUAUUUUUCCCCAUUCUUUUCCUUCUAAGUGAGUGGCUAAUAGCAAUGCAAGACCAUGCAAGUUGAUUUACUUUAUGUACUGAAUCACACAAGAUGAGAAGUGAGACUAAGGUUUGUUUACUGAAACAGUGUGUCUGUAUAAAAGAUGGACAAAGCUGGCUGAUUCCCCCACCCUGUGAGCUGAAAGCCUUCUGUGUCUCUCCCGCCUUCCGUCAGCUAAUGAACGUCAAUUGACAUAAGUGGCACAGUGACAUCCACUAAUUAGACUAUCACUUAACUCGGGAAGUGUGACAGCAUGAACAUGUUUUGGAGAACAAUCAGAAUACUGUAAAAGCAAUAUUAAAAUUCCUGGCUUUCUACACAAUAUAUAUGUACAUUGCAUAUGUAUAUACACACAUACACAUAAGACAAAAUCAUUUCUAGUUUAAGACAGAAUUACUUUCAUUUCACAAUGAAAUUUUCAGAACUCAUCUUCAUGUUUCUCUAGUAACAGUGCUUCUUGAUGAAUACCAUGAGUGGCACAACAUUUAAGUUUCACAACUCUUGAUUUUCAUCCCCUUGAUAUCAGACAGUAUUCACUAUGGCAAUAACAUUACACAGUCACGUAAUCUCUGUAGAAGUAAAAAAUAAAAUAAAAUGAAAAUAAGUAUUUAGUAAAAAGAACUAAGUAAGAUAAAGAAUUAUUAAGAAGUUAGAGAAAUAAUAGCCCUAGACAAACUUAAGAGGAACAUGGCCAUCAUUUCCUUAAAUAGCCUCAAUAUUGUUUGUCUGCUGGUGUAUCUGCUUUUGAGAAAUUAGCAUUUGAAAUUUUCUUAUCAAGGUUUCUUUAGGGAGGUGUAAUUCAAGGCCUAUGAAAGGAACAGGAAAGUAAUCACUCACUCUUGAAAAGCGUGGGCUCACCUCUAAUCCCAUUCUUCUCCUCACUUCUGUAAAGCGUUAGUUCAAAGACAACUAUAUAGGUUUGAUUGUAUAUGUAUGUGUGUGUGUGUGUAUUUUGUAUACAGGAUAUAUACACACACACACACACACACAUAUAUAUAUAUGUAUAUAUACAUACCACCUUCUCAGAGCCGUUAUAAAUUAUAUUACAUUACAUCAGUCUUCUUUGAAGUUUCCAUCACAUAUGAAAUAGAUGCCUUCCGGUUACAGAAUAUCCAGGCUUAGACAAGUGACGUGCUUUGUGUUAUUCAUUUAUUUGUCCUACAAUCACAAUAUUUUUACAUUAUUCUUCACUGGCAGUACCACAGGACUGUCAGCAGAAACCACCACGGUAGUGCAGUUUUCUGGUGUUUGUGCUAUAAUCAAAUUAACAGAGAUUCUAGCACCUAUUGAAGCACUCAGAAUAUCCGCAAUCAGUUCUCCAAAUGAUUUAAACAAGGAGAUGGUCUUAUUUGCACAUCAGCAAUUUCCACUCCAACAGAAACAAGACUGAAGCAAAAGAAAGAAUUCUUUCCAACAAUUGCCACUGUUCAUACUCGAAGGAUGUUUAUUACAAGGAAACGUGAAGUGUGUUAGUGAAAGGAUAUAGCUAAUGUGACAUUAAAGUAAAACCAGCAUGAUGACCUACUUUUGUUUCUGCUGAAUUAAGUUACAUUUUGUCUUGCCUUGAGAGACUGAAUAUCAUUAGUUAGAGUACCAGGCAUAUUACGCGCUUACCUUCAGUGACAGAUCAAAGCAGCGAGGUAAUCCAGGGACAACAGUGUUGAGCUGUAUGACAGUUGUGCACAGUGGAGUCCUGGGAGGAGGUCACUGCCUAUACAGAAUAAGAAAACAGUGUAAGUUGCUGGGAUAAGUAUCCUUGGGAAAUAUCCUGGGAUAUUUCAGUGUAAGUGCAAUCCAAGAUGCUGAAAUCAAUACAAAUGUGAAACCCAUUUCUAAUUUGCUGUGUUAUGAGAAACGGAUGAGUAAAAACAUAGCGUCUUUUUGAAAUGGACUAUUUUACCUACUUACUUGAAUAUAUAUGUGCAUCAUCAAUACAUUGACAUCAUAAUUCAUCAAAAGGUAUCUAUGGAUACUCCAAACAUUCCUACUUCAAAAGAUUUGUAGGAUCAGAAAACUCCAACAACCUUGAUUCUGAACCUUGGAUGGCCUUGAGCCAUUCACAGCUAUGAACUUAAUCUUUGCUGAAACAAAUGUUUGUAAAGUGAAGUGGAUGUGGAUAAGAUUAUGAAAGAGCAAACCUUAUUUUGUGAUGAGCCCAGAGUUCCUGACACUGCACAGCAUGGACACCGUGGUAUUUGUUAUUCACUAACCUUUCGUGCACUUUCUAGUGUAAAGGACAUAAAAUAUCAACCAAUGUAACUUCCUUUUUUUUGUAUCUCGUAUGACUGCAUCUGUCAAAAAAGCUAACUUACUGAUUAAUGAACUCCAAAGAUAAUCUGUGAAAUUGUGUUCAACUAUUGAUCAUUUUCUGACAUUUCCUGCUGCAAAUAAAGGUGUUUGCUCUUUUUUCCACACACAUUUUUCCUCCUCUAUAUAUAAGUACAGAGAAUCUUUCAGUACGUUUACAACAAAUGAAGUCAAAGACUUCACUUCUGGUAGAAAUGACAGAAAGACUCAAAUGUGAUGCCCACAUUACAGUGAAUAUACUUUCAGAAAACUGAGGUCAUUUUUCAUUAUUUGCACAAGUUGGGAUUAAGUCUCUAAAACCAACACACUAUUUCUUCAAACAAAUCACUGUAUACACCUGAUUAAAUCAGAGUACUUUACAUUAGAAGGCAAAUGUGUUUUAGUAAAACCCCA
ensembl:lncRNA